rnacentral:lncRNA from 1 species
GUCGUUCAGUAUGUUUGUCUCAUUUCUGUAUUAGCCUGAGUUUGUAGAAAUGUCUGUUUUUUAAUUAUAAGAUUUCAGCUUGAAUUUCUUCCCAUCAAGGUUGUCAUAUUUUCUGAAAAGCAAGAUGUUAAAGAUGGGUGCUUCAUUAUUUAAGUGAUACUGCACUGUUAAGCUCCUUCAGAAAUGGACAUGCCAACCAACGUCUGGUCCUCGGUUCCUCAUCUCCUGAUGCUUUGGAAGUGAUGGAUUGAGGUGCACACAUAAUGACCUGUUCCAGUCAGAAACUGAGAGCCUCAGAAGGAGUUGCCAACCAG